AACGAACGCUGGCGGCAGGCUUAACACAUGCAAGUCGAACGCCCCGCAAGGGGAGUGGCAGACGGGUGAGUAACGCGUGGGAAUCUACACAGUUCUACGGAAUAACCCAGGGAAACUUGGACUAAUACCGUAUACGCCCUACGGGGGAAAGAUUUAUCGGAAUUGGAUGAGCCCGCGUUGGAUUAGCUAGUUGGUGGGGUAAUGGCCUACCAAGGCGACGAUCCAUAGCUGGUCUGAGAGGAUGAUCAGCCACACUGGGACUGAGACACGGCCCAGACUCCUACGGGAGGCAGCAGUGGUGAAUAUCGGACAAUGGGCGCAAGCCUGAUCCAGCCAUGCCGCGUGAGUGAUGAAGGCCUUAGGGUUGUAAAGCUCUUUCAGUGGGGAAGAUAAUGACGGUACCCACAGAAGAAGCCCCGGCUAACUUCGUGCCAGCCGCCGCGGUAACAC
rnacentral:rRNA from 1 species